UCCCUGGUAGCCUAGUGGUUAGGACUCAGUGCUUUCACCCCUGUGGCCCAGGUUCAAUUCCCGGUCUGGGAA
rnacentral:tRNA from 1 species